ACUCAAAUGAAUUGACGGGGGCUCACACAAGCGGUGGAGCAUGUGGCUCAAUUCGAAGCAACGCGAAGAACCUUAUCCUGGGCUUGACAUGUAUGGAUUAGUUCCUGGAAACAGGAAUAACGCGGCUUGCCGUGGAACAUACACAGGUGCUGCAUGGCUGUCGUCAGCUCGUGCUGUGAAGUGUCGGGUUAAGUCCCUUAACGAGCGAAACCCCUGCCGUUAGUUGCCAUCAGGUAAUGCUGAGCACUCUAGCGGGACUGCCGGUGUUAAACCGGAGGAAGGUGGGGAUGACGUCAAGUCCUCAUGGCCUUUACGCCCAGGGCUGCACACGUGCUACAAUGGCGCAUACAAAGCGAAGCAAUACCGCGAGGUGGAGCAAAUCGCAAAAAAUGCGCCCCAGUUCAGAUUGUAGUCUGCAACUCGACUACAUGAAGUUGGAAUCGCUAGUAAUCGCAUAUCAGCUACGAUGCGGUGAAUACGUUCCUGAGCCUUGUACACACCGCCCGU
rnacentral:rRNA from 1 species